AUAUGAUGAUGAGGAACUUUUCUCUGCAAUUCCUUGUACCACUCCCAUGCGUCACUCACUGAUUCUCCAUCCAAUUGCUGAUAAAGCAUGAUAUCUCUAGUCAGCUU